CCUCCUUACUAUUACGUCGAUGACGCACUUGAUGCAGUGCCUACACAGAUUGUUUUGUCUAGAAAAUUAGAGAACACCAAAAGGUAGUACUCACUCUAUACAGAGUAUGAGCAAGUUAGGCUUGUAGCUCAGCUGGUUAGAGCGCACCCCUGAUAAGGGUGAGGUCGGCAGUUCAAGUCUGCCCAAGCCUACCAACUUCUUCCGCAUUUGCUUUGUCACCCGCGAAAGAUUUUAUAUGGGGCUAUAGCUCAGCUGGGAGAGCGCCUGAUUUGCAUUCAGGAGGUCAGCAGUUCGAUCCUGCUUAGCUCCACCACUUCUAAGUGCAUUUAUAAAGUGUAUUUAAAAGUGGUUUUUUACCACGAUAUGUUCUUUAACAAUUUGGAAAGCUGAUAUUAAUAGUAAUCAAUCAAAAGAGUAAUUGAGAAGUCGAAAGACGCACUUUUUACUCUACUUGACUUGAAUUGCUUGUUAUCA
rnacentral:tRNA from 1 species